AUCUGUUCAUGUUAAGCCUUUAUGGUUUAAGGGAGCUUUUCUUUUUAUGUGCUUUCUAUUUGUCAGAUUGUACCGGGGAAGGUUUUUCCGGUUUACCCCGGAGGGCUUGUAGCUCAGUUGGUUAGAGCGCGCGCUUGAUAAGCGUGAGGUCGGAGGUUCAAGUCCUCCCAGGCCCACCAGUUUAUAGUAUCUAAUCUUAUGUGAUUGGAAUUAUAACAGCUUAUAGGAUUUGUGGACUUAUGAGGGUUUAUAGCGUUUUUAAUUUUUGAUUAAGUUUAAAUGGUUUAGAGGCAAUCCUCUUAUUAUCCUUACUUAGGGGCCGUAGCUCAGCUGGGAGAGCACCUGCUUUGCAAGCAGGGGGUCGUCGG
rnacentral:misc_RNA from 1 species